GAUGAACGCUGGCGGCGUGCUUAACACAUGCAAGUCGAACGAAGCUGUUAAAAGGAAGCUUUCGGGUGGAAUUUUAACAGACUUAGUGGCGGACGGGUGAGUAACGCGUGGAUAACCUGCCUUAUACAGGGGGAUAACGGAGAGAAAUUUCCGCUAAGACCGCAUAAGACCACAGCACCGCAUGGUGCAGGGGUAAAAUAUUUAUAGGUAUAAGAUGGAUCCGCGUCCGAUUAGCUGGUUGGUGAGGUAGAGGCUCACCAAGGCGACGAUCGGUAGCCGGCCUGAGAGGGUGAACGGCCACAUUGGGACUGAGACACGGCCCAAACUCCUACGGGAGGCAGCAGUGGGGAAUAUUGGACAAUGGGGGGAACCCUGAUCCAGCGACGCCGCGUGAGUGAAGAAGUAUUUCGGUAUGUAAAGCUCUAUCAGCAGGGAAGAAAAGACGGUA
rnacentral:rRNA from 1 species